CUUUGGUAUCUUGUAUCUUGGUUGUGGGGGGUGGAAAUUGCUAGCUAAAAAAUGGAAGAAAGAAAACAAAAUAAUCCUGUGUUCAGUACUUAUAACUUUAGUGGUGCAACAAAGCAACUUCCAAACACUGCUCCAGCAUCCCCACCUUCCCCGCAAGAGGCAAGGAACAGCUUCAAGUCUUCCUUUCUUGUUCACUCCUAUGACUCUGGAGGAGACAGCCCAACCAAGAGCCAUGGAAGGAUGUGGAGGAUGCGGAGGAUGCCCUGACUGCGCGGACCAGUAACGGCUGGGGCAACCCGAUUUCCCCACGCCCCCGCACCACGCUCUCCCUUGGCUCCAUCCUGCCGCACAGGCUCGAGCCCAGCGCGGCUGGAUCAACUUGUCAGUGUCGCUGUGGGGAAGAACAGGCAGCAGGGUUCCCCUUCCACAAAGCUCUGAGCUACAGGGGAAAGCUCUGAGUCGCCCUCUGGUGGAGGGAAUUUCAACCAUCCAAACUGCUUUCUGUGGAUCCAAUCUGUAAUCUGCAGAGCGCGUCUGGAUUGUAAUACAGAUUGCAAUAUGCAAGCCACACAAGUUAGGUAAAGAACAAGUGCGGGAUGCUGACAAUGGGCCAGUCGAGUGCAAAGCACUAUAUAUUCGUUUCUUAGACGCAGCUUCCGUGUAUAGAUUUUUAUUGUUCUAAAUAAUCUAGAAUCAUAUUGCCACUUCCCUCAGAGAUUGGGAAUAGAGUAAGAAUAGGCAAUUCUUAUA
rnacentral:lncRNA from 1 species